rnacentral:misc_RNA from 1 species
CAUCCUCGCCGUGCAUGCUGCGCUCCCAUCCAUCCACUUGCGCUCAGCCCUCGCUGCCUCCCCAUGUUGCGCCCCCAUCCAUCCACUUGCGGUAGUCCUUGCUGCCUCCCCCUCCGCCUCUGCUCCACCUCCAACCUCACUGCCACCCCCUAACCUGAAUGGGAUCUUCGUGUCCGACCCACCCAUCAACAUGGACACACCACCACGGAGGCCGAGCUGCGGGAGAACGAGUUCUGGAUCACGUGCCACACCAAGCUCGCAUGCACCAUGGGCCGCUGACUGGCACCUCGCCGCCAUGGAGGUGCAUAAGUGGUGGUACCUCAGCGACAUCCUGGCCCGCCCCUCCCUCCUCCCCCUCACGCCUCGCCGCUACCUCGGAGGCGUGAAGCUUCUCCUCCCCUCUUCGGCGCAACAGUAGCAGCCGUCUCUGCCUCCGUCCCCUGCUGGACCGUCGAAAUCCGCUCGGGUUUGGGCUAUUCUUCUGUGAUGUGAUCACCCAAUUCGGUCAUUUGCGGUGGUUGUGCUUAAAGAUUUCUCAUAGUGUACAACAGUUCCCCUCAAAAGGUCUCAAGCUGCAGACGUAUCUCAAGAAGAGCAAAACAAUAUCCCGAAAGAUUUAGAAAAAGAAGACAUAAUACAUGCACUACGAAGACGUAAAAUAGACGUUGUUGAUUUUGAAUUGCUCACCAUUAUUUUGUUCUUUCCAUUUCAAUGUGCGGGUAUAAUCCCAACAUGUGUUGUUGGAGUUGACUAUGCUGUAAAAAGAGGUAAAAAAGUGUACAUCUGACAAACCACCU